AAAAAAAACCCUAAUCUCCAUUUGAUAGAAUGAUCCUAUAACAUUCAAAAUUCUUCCUGCAAAUCCCAAAAUUCAGAAUCUGAAUCAAAAAUUGUUGAACUGAAUCAAUGUCUCAAGAUGGAGCAACAGCUAUGGAUUGGAAGAAGGAUGGUCAAUCAACAAACUCUACCGGAAAUGGCAUGGGGAAUUGUGUUCGGAAUGGAUCAAACGGUGUUGUUUACCCACCGUACGCUUCUCACCGGCUGCGAUUGAACCCUAGUGUUGAUCACAAACCGGAUAACUAUGAUGACCUUCAAUUGGAUUUCAGUCCGUUGUUGUUUAGUUCCCUUGAACGUUAUCUUCCGCCUGCUCUUCUAAACUCAUCACGUGACCAGAAGGUUCAUUUCAUGCGUGAAAUUCUCCUCCGUUACUUUCCUGAAGGCGAACGCACUCGUGUCCAGAAGCAUAGAGAAUACAGACAGAAGAUUAUAUCAAACUAUCA
rnacentral:misc_RNA from 1 species